GGAAUGAGAGGUGCCUUUAGUAGGAGAGACAAAGUCUCAUUCCACCACCCAGACAGGAGUGCAGUGGUGCGAUCGCAGUUCACUUAACCUCAACCUCCUGGCCUCAGAUAAGCCACCCAAGUAGCUGACACUGUAGGGCUCUCAUCUUGAUCCAUAGGAAUUGACCAGCUGACCAGCUGGCUAAGUACCCAAAUGUGUGUGGUGAGGGUGAGACUUAAAAACAGAGCUCAACAUCUGAAAUCUAGAAAAAUUUGGUGCCAGUGUUCUUCAUACGAAGUUAGUGAUGCGCUGCCAGUAUUGCAACAGCAUCCUCCUGGGACACAUUUCUAAGGAUGGACAGUCUGUAUCUGCCUCCUGCCAGCUGCAUUGCAAACAUAAUAUGCUCUUUGCAGUUUCAAUCAAAAUGAAAUUCUUCAUGGAAAACUGUACUGUAACUGGAAGUAUUUGAAAAUCAAAGGCUUCACAGCAGGAACUGUUUCUGGCAGCUUGGUGAACCAAGAAAGGCAAUAUUCUUCUGGGGAACAUUGCCUUGAGAGACACAACAUGAAUUACAACAUCAUGAUGUAUUCAGCCAGAUGUCUGCAAGACAGAAAAUCACGUGACUGAGCAAGGCAUGUGAAUGUUCUUAAAGGGGGAGAAAUAGAAAAGAAAAACCAAACAUGCAUCAGAUAUUUCCUUUUUGCAUCACAUUAUUCCCAAUCAUAUGGAUGCCUUAUGUUUAUAACUUGCCAAUUAUGA
rnacentral:lncRNA from 1 species